rnacentral:rRNA from 1 species
GACCUACGGGAGGCAGCAGUGGGGGAUAUUGCACAAUGGGGGAAACCCUGAUGCAGCGACGCCGCGUGGGUGAAGAAGCGCCUCGGCGCGUAAAGCCCUGUCAGCAGGGAAGAAAAUGAUGGUACCUGAAGAAGAAGCCCCGGCUAACUACGUGCCAGCAGCCGCGGUAAUACGUAGGGGGCAAGCGUUAUCCGGAUUUACUGGGUGUAAAGGAGGCGCAGACGGCGAUGCAAGCCAGGAGUGAAAGCCCGGGGCCCAACCCCGGGACUGCUCUUGGAACUGCGUGGCGCGAGGGCAGGAGGGGG